UUGUAUCACCAUUUUCAUUGUUUUCAAUGUACUUGUGUCUUUAUACUACUCGAUUGGCUGCAUAUGGUUAUUUUUCACUGUUGUAACUAUACAUGUAUACGCAGGUGGUGCAACUACGUUUCAAUAAUUACUUUUCUCUCUGUUCUUAAAUUAUGCUUCGUAAUUUUCCAUUUUAUGACCGUUAUGACAUCAUUUUUCCCUUGAACAAGAGAGGUGCCUUUUGUAUCUGACUAGUACUUCGAAAUUCAUAUAUGCAUGGACUUCUACCCACUUAUUGGAAAUACAGAAGUCUGGGAGGGUAGCCUAGAUCACAUGAGGGGUGAUGGCGUUCUUCUCCACCUCAAAUUACGUGCAACUAGAGUAGAUUACAACGAGGUCCAUAUAAAAUACAAAAUUGCAAACAGAACCUCAACAAGUGCGAAAGGACCCAGGACAAGAAACAGAAACGAUUAUCUGCUAGCAGUGGCAAGACAACAAGUUGAUCAGAUCAUAUUUUUAGUUUGCUAUGCAGGUAGUUUUUGUGCGGGUGACCAGCUACGUCAGACACUGAAAUUAGGUAUGAUAUAGGACAUGUAGUAGGAGGUCAAUGUAGUCCACAAGAGAACAGUGUAUAUUAUCUUCACUGCGUCAUGUCAUGUUAUUUUGUCCAUACGAUUGCUUAAGAUGUCCAUGCAGAAAUAUGUAGUUUAGCUAUCAGCAUGGCAAGAGCAGGAAUGACAAAAAGUUGGAUUUCAGUGCUAUUCUUGGAAGAAUAGAUUUGGCAUCAGGUAUGGCAAGAGCAGGCUCAACGUGGAAAGGAGCAAGUGCAGGAAAAAGUUUGUGACU